UUCCUUCAUCUCAGCUGUGCCUCGUACAGAGUGAGUCAACACCCUUGCAGGCAAGGGGUGGAGGAUCACUUGACUCCUAUUACAAAGAAGCAGGAGACUAGUGAGGUCCUGCAAAUGAGGCCUAAAGAGGUUAUUUGUAGAAGGCCUAUGUAUUUUAUGUUUGGAUUUUGUCUUUUUCUGGAAAGAAAGGAUUCUUGCUUUUGGCAGAAAGCCAAAUCACAAAACUGACGUGUUGAAGACUAUCUCUAGAAGAAGGGACCUGAGGCACAGUGGGGGAAACUGAGACACACUGUACUGGAGAUAUCAGAGUGGCUCCUUGACCUCCACUGGGUGCUGUAUGUCCAGAACCUCUGGCCCAACAUACCUUCAUGGACCAUUUGAAAAGGAAGUGUUUCCAUAAUGAAGUUCUGGUUGAAGUUCUUGAGAGGACUGACAAACUGAUCCAGUACAGCAGCAUGGGGGUGUAAGACUGGAAUGACGGCAGGCUGAGAGGCAGAAGGAAAGGCUAAAACUCACUGCACAGCUGGAGGAUAGGGUUUUAGAAAGGGAACAGUUCCUGGAACAGAAAUGGUGGCUGAGGGAGGAGGACCCAGGUCAACGGAGAUAACUGUUUGAGUGAUUCAUCCCCAUCAUGGCUGGAAGAACACAGGCUCUAGCUGCCUCUUCCACACCAAGGCCUGAUUCCCCUGCAACAUACCUUCAGUCCAGAAGUAACUUGGACAACUCCAUGCAUUCAUGCACCAUGAAUGGGUUGGCCCCAUUGCAGCCUUCCUUCUUGAACCUCUCCCCUCUGGAUACCUCCACUCCUCUGUCGGUGCCAAGUGUGCAGAAAGAAAGGAAAGGAGAAUGUGGGGGCAAGGGACAUGAAGCAGUAGGGGGUUUAUAUCAUGUUUGCACUGUAUUCUGCACUUUUAUUUUUUUAUUUUUUGUUUUGGAAAUGUUCUUCAGUUUCUUGUUUUGGGAUGCUGGCAGCUGGCCUGCCUGGCAAUGGGCGACGGUUGUAUUGUUUUAACACAUUUACAAAUAAAGCCUUUUUAUGUCAUCAUGAA